rnacentral:lncRNA from 1 species
GAUGCCCCUGUCGCUGAUGCUCCAGAGAAGACUGAAGAAGUGGAAGGUAAGGCAACUGAAUCUGAAGUAGCUCCCGUGGAGGCUGAGAUGUCUGACCCUGUAACAGAGAACAAGGAAAACGAGAAGCCAGCUGAAUUUGAAGAAGUUCCCGUGGAGUUUGAGAUGUCUGACCUUGUAUCAGAGAACAAGGAAAACGAGAAGCCAGCUGAAUCUGAAGAAGUCCCCGUGGAGUUUGAGAUGUCUGCCCCUGUAUUAGAAGAGCACAAGGAAGAUGAGAAGGCAGCUGAAUAUGAAGUAGCUCCCGUGGAGGGUGAGAAAAGUGAAAACGG